GGAAUUUUCCGCAAUGGGCGAAAGCCUGACGGAGCAACACCGCGUGAGGGAUGAAGGCCUCUGGGCUGUAAACCUCUUUUAUCAAGGAAGAAGAUCUGACGGUACUUGAUGAAUAAGCCACGGCUAAUUCCGUGCCAGCAGCCGCGGUAAUACGGGAGUGGCAAGCGUUAUCCGGAAUUAUUGGGCGUAAAGCGUCCGCAGGCGGCCCAUCAAGUCUGCUGUUAAAAAGUGGAGCUUAACUCCAUCAUGGCAGUGGAAACUGUUGGGCUAGAGUGUGGUAGGGGCAGAGGGAAUUCCCGGUGUAGCGGUGAAAUGCGUAGAUAUCGGGAAGAACACCAGUGGCGAAGGCGCUCUGCUGGGCCAUAACUGACGCUCAUGGACGAAAGCCAGGGGAGCGAAAGGGAUUAGAUACCCCAGUAGUC
rnacentral:rRNA from 1 species